GAAAGCAAAGUUCACUGCCAGUUCAAGAUGGUGGUGCUGCUUUAUGCAACAUAAUUCUUCAGUAGAGAGAUGCCCCGAGCAAGCCAGCCAGCGAGCCGGUGGGAGUGGGGUCUGGAGCCCCAUGGGAGCAGAGCCUGAGCGGGUGCUGGAGCAGGCGCUGGAGCCAGCAGAGCUCAGCUGUGGAGCCAGAGGGAACCAAGAAUGACCCAGCAAGAGGAAGUGGGGUUGGCAGAGAGCCUUCCGCCUGUGCUGGAGAAGAGAGACGCCUCACCUGCCCCAGAGCGCCACCCACCCUGAGAGACAGCCAGGACAGCAGGCGCUGGGCCCACGGGGCUCCUCUGCGAAGCCCGAGGCGAGAAGAAAGACAGCAGGGAAAGGUCAGCUGUGCUCCUGGGACUGGAAUGUGGAUGCCGGGGGAGCUCUGGCCUGAGCAGCCCUUGCCCCAUUGAAAGCCACGGGAUGAGACCCAGAGGCCAGUGUGGCCAGAGAUGGGAGGGACAUUAGAAUCCGCGCUCCUGCCGACACAGCUUGCCCUUGCCCAGCGGAAGAGACAGGCUGGACCAGGACAGCCAGUCUGCAAGGCAGCGACUACAAAUGCACGGCCAGAGGUUCCUGGAAGACCACGUGGAGGAAGAGGCCACAGCUGCCAACAGAGGGGGCCAGCGCCUCAGUGUGACAACACCAGGGUGGGCCUUCCAGCUUGGAAGCACAAGUCCACGCCACUCCUGGGAGUGUGUCUGUGUAACAGGGCCCAGGCCCCUCUGCUGGUUUCCAACCUGCAGUGCUCUCUGAGCAGACUCUGUGAUUUGCGGUGCAGGCCACCCAGGGACUUUAAUCUUCACCGUGACAAAU
ensembl:lncRNA